rnacentral:lncRNA from 1 species
GCCAGGACUCUGCCUCAGCACUUUCUGCUUCCAUUUCAUUCUCCCCAUGGCCACUCUCAGAAAGUUCUCAGAGAGGCCACCAAACUGAUGCCCUGAGAUGGAAGAUGUACAAGACUUGCUGCUGAGAAUACAGAAUUGGAACCACUUUGGCACUCUUCACAAAAAUCAGAGCUUCCAUCCUAAUUUUUCCUACCCUGUGCCUUUCUGCAACAGAGAUUUUUCUUCUACAAGUGGUUUCCAGACAAGAUUUAGUGCACAUUACGAACACCUUGCCAAGAAGGGGAGUGAGAGCACUGGGAUUUAA